UAUAAAAACAGAACUCCUAGGUUUGGGGUUCAUGUUACAAUUGGACUCCAGGAAAACAGACUAUACAUUCAAAAUCUAAACCAGUUUUAAAAUAUAAAUUAAAAAGUAUUUUCCUUCUAGCACAUUUAGAUAUUAUUACUUACUAAGAGAAAGAAGAACAGGCUACAUGCCAUCUUCGAUAGCUCCCUCAUGCUCCUAGAUUCACAGAUGAUACCAGGGAAGCCACUGCUUGCCUCUGUGCCUUUGGGGAGGCGGGGGUUGUAGUGGGAAGUCUGAAAGCUCACCAUCACGGAGCUCCAACUCCUUCUUCCUGAGAUGGGGUACUUGGCUGUGAAGCCGCAGGAGGCUGGAGGGGUGGAGGCUGGGGGCAGGAAGAGGAGGAAGUGAGGAAGGGAGCGAUGCCCGGGAGGGCUCUGGGAGAGUAACCAAUUCCUUCACUGGGGGCAGGCGGGAGUCUCCAGGGUCACUACGGGGCAACCUGUGAAGGGAAGGGAGGAAAGGGAUUUCCGGAAGUCUCCCGCUCUCCCUCCUGCCUGCUUCCCUCCUUCCCCUAGCGGUUGAUUGCGAGGAGCAGCGGAAGGAAGGAUGUAUCAAACCGAAAGAAGAAAGAACCCCUGCCAGUCGCCCCCAUGACAUCCGACUCUGAACGGCAGCGAUCUAGAGGCUGAGGCGUGUUGCAGAUUAACAGCAGCGAGGGCAGGAGGCAAAUCAGAUGCUGCAGGAGCUGACUGUUUUCUUUAGCCAUGAGAGCUCACUGGACGAUUUCAGCAGAGCCUCUUAAGACACAUGUUCUGGAAUGCAGUCAAAUGCGUGCUGCUGUACGACCAGCCUAUUUGAUUAUGCCUCCAAAUCCUAUGGAAGUAUAACAGCCAUAGAACAGACAAACACCAACAGCAUCAACAACAGAGAAACUCAGUCCAGGAGGAUAUGAAACCCUUUGUAAUAAAGAAAGCAACAGCCAUGAA